GACGAACGCUGGCGGCGUGCUUAACACAUGCAAGUCGAACGGAAAGGCCCUUCGGGGUACUCGAGUGGCGAACGGGUGAGUAACACGUGGGUGAUCUGCCCUGCACUUUGGGAUAAGCCUGGGAAACUGGGUCUAAUACCGAAUAGGACCGCAUGCUUCAUGGUGUGUGGUGGAAAGCUUUUGCGGUGUGGGAUGGGCCCGGGGCCUAUCAGCUUGUUGGUGGGGUAAUGGCCUACCAAGGCGACGACGGGUAGCCGGCCUGAGAGGGUGACCGGCCACACUGGGACUGAGAUACGGCCCAGGCUCCUAUGGGAGGCAGCAGUGGGGAAUAUUGCACAUUGGGCGCAAGCCUGAUGCAGCGACGCCGUGUGAGGGAUGACGGCCUUCGGGUUGUAAACCUCUUUCAGCAGGGACGAAGCGCAAGUGACGGUACCUGCAGAAGAAGGACCGGCCAACUACGUGCCAGCCGCCGCGGUAA
rnacentral:rRNA from 1 species